UUAUAAGAGACAGCAGUCGCCGCGGUAAUACAGAGGGUGCGAGCGUUAAUCGGAUUUACUGGGCGUAAAGCGUGCGUAGGCGGCUUCUUAAGUCGGAUGUGAAAUCCCUGAGCUUAACUUAGGAAUUGCAUUCGAUACUGGGAAGCUAGAGUAUGGGAGAGGAUGGUAGAAUUCCAGGUGUAGCGGUGAAAUGCGUAGAGAUCUGGAGGAAUACCGAUGGCGAAGGCAGCCAUCUGGCCUAAUACUGACGCUGAGGUACGAAAGCAUGGGGAGCAAACAGGAUUAGAUACCCCCGUAGUCCCUGUCUCUUAUAC
rnacentral:rRNA from 1 species